rnacentral:rRNA from 1 species
AUACGGAGGAUCCGAGCGUUAUCCGGAUUUAUUGGGUUUAAAGGGUGCGCAGGCGGCCAUUUAAGUCAGCGGUUAAAUCGUGGGGCUCAACCCCAUUCUGCCGUUGAUACUGGGUGGCUUGAUUGCGGUCGAGGUUGGCGGAAUUCGUUGUGUAGCGGUGAAAUGCAUAGAUAUGACGAAGAACACCGAUUGCGUAGGCAGCUGACCAGAUCGCAAAUGACGCUCAUGCACGAAAGUGCGGGGAUCGAACAGGAUUAGAUACCCUGGUAAUCCGCACAGUAAACGAUGAAUACUUGUUUUCGGCGAUAUAAUGUCGGAGGCAAAGCGAAAGCGAUAAGUAUUCCCCCUGGGGAGUACGCCGGCAACGGUGAA